AACGAACGCUGGCGGCAGGCCUAUCACAUGCAAGUCGAACGCACCGCAAGGUGAGUGGCGCACGGGUGAGUAACACGUGGGAAUGUACCCUUUGGUUCGGAAUAACGUUUGGAAACGAACGCUAAUACCGGAUGAGCCCUGUGGGGGAAAGAUUUAUCGCCAAAGGAGCAGCCCGCGUCUGAUUAGCUAGUUGGUGGGGUAAAGGCCUACCAAGGCGACGAUCAGUAGCUGGUCUGAGAGGAUGAUCAGCCACACUGGGACUGAGACACGGCCCAGACUCCUACGGGAGGCAGCAGUGGGGAAUAUUGGACAAUGGGCGGAAGCCUGAUCCAGCCAUGCCGCGUGAGUGAUGAAGGCCUCGGUUGUAAAGACUCUUUCGUCACGCGACGAUGAUGACGGUAGCGUGAGAAGAAGACCCGGCUAACUUCGUGCCAGCAGCCGCGGUAAU
rnacentral:rRNA from 1 species